AUGAAGAGGCUAGCAGGCACUGUGCUGGGGCUUCUGUUUGCCCAGGUUUGCUGUGUGCGAGGGGAGGAUGUGGAGCAGAGUUCCCCAGCCCUGAGUCUCCAGGAGGGAGCCAGCUACAUGCUUCGGUGUAAUUUUUCCACUUUCACACAGAGUGUGAAUUGGUAUCUUCAGAACCCUGGGGGCCGCCUCAUCCACCUGGUUUACAUCCCUUCAGGGACAAAGCAGGAUGGAAGAUUAAACGCCACGACAGUCCCUAAAGAAGGCUGCAGCUCAUGGCACAUUUCCUCUUCGUGGACCACAGACUCGGGCACUUACUUCUGUGCUGCGCAGCACGGUGCUCCCCAGGCACCUGCAGCCUCUACACGAACCCUCCCGGGGCUCAGCCCCUCCUCCAGACCCAGUCACACCGUGAGGCCCCACAGGGCAUUUGCAGUGCUUCAUGUUACUCACCUACAUCACGGCAGUUUUAUCCACCGAUACUUUUUGGCCUACAGAUUAUGGACUUUGGUCUUUAUCUUCCCUUCUCAACAUGUAUCUCCUUCUGCACUAGAAACUUCUGACUUGGAACUAGCAAAGUAG